rnacentral:rRNA from 1 species
GAGUUUGAUCGUGGCUCAGAUUGAACGCUGGCGGAAUGCUUUACACAUGCAAGUCGAGCGGCAGCGCGGGGCAACCUGGCGGCGAGCGGCGAACGGGUGAGUAAUGCAUCGGAACAUGUCCAUGUCGUGGGGGAUAGCCCGGCGAAAGCCGGAUUAAUACCGCAUACGCCCGAGAGGGGAAAGUGGGGGACCGCAAGGCCUCACGCGAUUGGGUUGGCCGAUGUCCGAUUAGCUAGUUGGCGGGGUAAUGGCCCACCAAGGCGAUGAUCGGUAGCUGGUCUGAGAGGAUGAUCAGCCACACUGGGACUGAGACACGGCCCAGACUCCUACGGGAGGCAGCAGUGGGGAAUUUUGGGACAAUGGGGGCAACCCUGAUCCAGCCAUUCCGCGUGAGUGAAGAAGGCCUUCUGGUUGUAAACUGCUUUUGCCAGGGGAUAAAAAGGGCGUGCGCGCCUAAUUGAAGGUACCUGGUGAAUAAGCCACGGCUAACUAACGUGCCAGCAGCCGCAGU